UGGGGAAUUUUGGACAAUGGGCGAAAGCCUGAUCCAGCAAUGCCGCGUGUGUGAAGAAGGCCUUCGGGUUGUAAAGCACUUUUGUCCGGAAAGAAAUCCUCUGGGUUAAUACCUCGGGGGGAUGACGGUACCGGAAGAAUAAGCACCGGCUAACUACGUGCCAGCAGCCGCGGUAAUACGUAGGGUGCAAGCGUUAAUCGGAAUUACUGGGCGUAAAGCGUGCGCAGGCGGUUUUGUAAGACGGAUGUGAAAUCCCCGGGCUUAACCUGGGAACUGCAUUCGUGACUGCAAGGCUAGAGUAUGGCAGAGGGGGGUAGAAUUCCACGUGUAGCAGUGAAAUGCGUAGAGAUGUGGAGGAAUACCGAUGGUGAAGGCAGCCCCCUGGGCCAAUACUGACGCUCAUGCACGAAAGCGUGGGGAGCAAACAGGAUUAGAUACCCUGGUAGUCCACGCCCUAAACGAUGUCAACUAGUUGUUGGGGAUUCAUUUCCUUAGUAACGUAGCUAACGCGUGAAGUUGACCGCCUGGGGAGUACGGUCGCAAGAUUAAAACUCAAAGGAAUUGACGGGG
rnacentral:rRNA from 1 species